rnacentral:rRNA from 1 species
UCUGGGUAGCAUGGCUACGCGCUGUAGCUAGUUUCUUCACCAGUUUUCGGUGUUGAAAUUGCUCGGUGUAGUGGUCGUGUGACCUUUCUGCCGUGUCUGUGUACACAGGUGCCAACCGUUAGGUCGGCAUGCUCUCGGGUGCCUUUAAUCGGGUGUCCGGAGCAGACGGCACGUUUACUUUGAACAAAUUUGAGUGCUCAAAGCAGGCCGUAGAGCCUGAAAAGUCUUGCAUGGAAUAAUGGAAUAGGACUUCGGUUCUAUUUUGUUGGUUUUCGGAUCCGAAGUAAU